UUUGAAAUCUGGUAGCCUUCGGCUGUCCGAGUUGUAAUCUAGAGAAGUGUUUUCCGUGCCGGCCCAUGUACAAGUCCCUUGGAACAGGGCGUCAUAGAGGGUGAGAAUCCCGUCCUUGACAUGGACCCCCGGUGCUUUGUGAUACACUUUCAACGAGUCGAGUUGUUUGGGAAUGCAGCUCAAAAUGGGUGGUGAAUUCCAUCUAAAGCUAAAUAUUGGCGAGAGACCGAUAGCGAACAAGUACCGUGAGGGAAAGAUGAAAAGCACGUUGGAAAGAGAGUUAAACAGUACGUGAAAUUGUUGAAAGGGAAACGAUUGAAGUCAGUCAUGCUCUUUGGAUUCAGCCGUUCUGCGGUGUAUUUCCAUUGAGUGGGGUCAACAUCAGUUUUGACCGCUGGAUAAAGGCACUAGGAAGGUAGCACUCUCGGGUGAACUUAUAGCCUAGCGUCAUAUACAGUGGUUGGGACUGAGGAACGCAGCAUGCCAUUAUGGCCGGGAUUCGUCCACGUACAUGCUUAGGAUGUU
rnacentral:rRNA from 1 species